rnacentral:lncRNA from 1 species
UUGUCCAUAACGUUAGUACGAGUCAUUUUCACGAUGGAGUCCCGACGAGAAAAAAUCCUUGCUCUCCUCGAAGCACAUGCUUCCACCAAGGAGAUCGCCGAACCGCUCAAGUUGCUACUGCAAGACCGUCUACAAUGUUAAUAAGCGCAUGGAAGCUGGCUAGGACCUUAUGCGACGCAGUGGAAGUGGGAGAAAACAAAAAGUGGAUCUGGCGAGGUACAAGGAGCAUGCACUCGCCAACCUGAACUCCACGAUCACAUCGAUUGCAGAGGAUCUUGGGGUGGCAAGGUCAACUGCAUCUCUCUGGGGGCAAAAAAUAGGCGGAAAAUCCUUCAGAAGAGUUGGAAGGUCCUUAGUGUCCCAAAAGCAGCGUGACAAGAGGUUUGAGAGGCCAAAAAACUCUUGAAAGCGAUAAAGUGAAAUCCAGCCGACAUCGUUGUAUUUUCAGAUGAGAAGACUUUUAAGGUGGAUCCGGUGUUUAACUGGCAAGGAGAUCAGGUAUUAACAUUCCCCGACGUACCACUUGGUGGCUCCGCCAGGUACGUGACCGCCACAAGGGAUGCCGUGUCGUAGUGAUGAUGGGCCUCUUUGCACCCAACGGUAAUAGAUGAAACCAAUUUGGUUCCCCACUGGAUAUCGCCAUAAAGCUGACGAUUACCUCGAUAUCCUCAACAACAAGGUUGUCCCAUGGCUCUGAAAAUUGUCAAGGGUGGCACCUGUCGUAUUCAAGCAGGACGGGCCCCCUGCAUACACCGCCAAAGACGUUCAAUAAUUCCUCGUCAAGAAUCUCCAUAAGAACGUUGCUUAUUUGCCCCUCAGAGUCAUAACCUCAACCCACUAGACCACAGUAUCUAGGUGCAUAUUGAGACCAAGGUCUGUAAAGUUUGCCACCCCAACAUGAACUCUCUUAUGCCUGUGGGGACAAGGUAUGGGCCUCAAUGUCCGCCUUGUACCUUCGGAAAACCUGUGCCGCCUUCAGACCCCGCAUUGAGCGCUGCAUCGCCGCUGAGAUCGGCUAUAUUGAUUAAAAAUGCCUUUACUCCAAAAAGAAACUGAAAAAGGACCGAAAUCAUCUGGUAAUUAACCAAAUCAGUCAACCAUAUUCCUGAGCCUCCCUUCAUGACCCCUCUUUGAAAACCAUUGCCUUAAGCGACCUUAAUUUUCGGUGCCCUUCUGGAGCUUGGAGUACUACGCACUCUCUGUAUAAGCGACGCCUCUUACUUUAAGUGCUUAUUACCAAACUGAGCCUGUAUAAAAAAAGGACCGAAGACCAGAACCAAGACCAAUAAAGCUGAACCG